rnacentral:misc_RNA from 1 species
GAAAUGCGAUAAUUAAUGUAAAUUGCAGAAUUCAGUGAAUCAUCGAGUCUUUGAACGCACUUUGCGCCCCCUGGUAUUCCGGGGGGCAUGCCUGUCCGAGCGUCAUUGCUGCCCUCAAGCACGGCUUGUGUGUUGGGCUUCCGUCCCUGGCAACGGGGACGGGCCCAAAAGGCAGUGGCGGCACCAUGUCUGGUCCUCGAGCGUAUGGGGCUUUGUCACCCGCUCCCGUAGGUCCAGCUGGCAGCUAGCCUCGCAACCAAUCUUUUUAACCAGGUUGACCUCGGAUCAGGUAGGGAUACCCGCUGAACUUAAGC